CUACGGGAUGCUGCAGUGAGGAAUAUUGCACAAUGGGGGGAACCCUGAUGCAGCAACGCCGCGUGGAGGAUGACGCAUUUCGGUGUGUAAACUCCUUUAUAUGUCAAGAAAAUGACGGUAGCAUAUGAAUAAGCACCGGCUAACCCCGUGCCAGCAGCCGCGGUAAUACGGAGGGUGCAAGCGUUACUCGGAAUCACUGGGCGUAAAGGACGCGUAGGCGGGUUGGAAAGUCAGGUGUGAAAUCCUACAGCUUAACUGUAGAACUGCACUUGAAACUUCUAAUCUAGAGUAUGGGAGGGGGAGAUGGAAUUAGUGGUGUAGGGGUAAAAUCCGUAGAUAUCACUAGGAAUACCUAAAGCGAAGGCGAUCUCCUGGAACAUCACUGACGCUAAGGCGUGAAAGCGUGGGGAGCAAACAGGAUUAGAUACCCGCGUAGUC
rnacentral:rRNA from 1 species